rnacentral:rRNA from 1 species
GGAAGUAAAAGUCGUAACAAGGUUUCCGUAGGUGAACCUGCGGAAGGAUCAUUACCGAGUGCGGGUCCUCCGGGGCCCAACCUCCCACCCGUGUGUACCGUACCCUGUUGCUUCGGCGGGCCCGCCGCAAGGCCGCCGGGGGGCGUGUCCCGCCCCCGGGCCCGCGCCCGCCGGAGACCCUUCGAACGCUGAGCUUUUGAAGGCGUGCCGUCUGAGUCGCGUGAGAAAUCGUGAAAACUUUCAACAACGGAUCUCUUGGUUCCGGCAUCGAUGAAGAACGCAGCGAAAUGCGAUAAGUAAUGUGAAUUGCAGAAUUCCGUGAAUCAUCGAAUCUUUGAACGCACAUUGCGCCCCCUGGCAUUCCGGGGGGCAUGCCUGUCCGAGCGUCAUUGCUGCCCUCAAGCCCGGCUUGUGUGUUGGGCCGCCGUCCCCGCCCGCCGCGGGGGGACGGGCCCGAAAGGCAGCGGCGGCGCCGCGUCCGGUCCUCGAGCGUAUGGGGCUUCGUCACCCGCUCUUGCAGGCCCGGCCGGAGCCUCAGCCCGACCCCGCGUCAACAUCUUCCAGGUGACCUCGGAUCAGGUAGGGAUACCCGCUGAACUUAAGCAUAUCAAUAAGCGGAGGA